CGGGAGAUUUGGGGUACAGGAACGGGGAGGUCAGCAAGAACGAGGUGCUGGAGAUCAUCACGGUGAGAUUUGGGGUCAGAAAUGGCAGAUUUGGGGUUUGGGAUGCAGGAACGGCGAGGUCAGCAAGAACGAGGUGCUGGAGAUCAUCACGGUGAGGAGAACAUCCAGGAUUUGGGGUUUGGGGUCAGAAAUGGGAGAUUUGGGGUACAGGAACGGCAAGGUCAGCAAGAACGAGGUGCUGGAGAUCAUCACGGUGAGAUUUGGGGUCAGAAAUGUGAGAUUUGGGGUUGGGGAUGGCGGGAACGGCUCGGCCUGAGAGGAAAUUCAAGGUUUGGAUUUGGGGUUUGGGACGGGAUUGAGUCAUCCCAGGGGAAAUUCAGGAUUUUGGGUUUGGAAUUUGGGAUUUUGGGGAUGUUUUCCGGGCUGGGGAUGGGAUUGGCUCAUCCUGAGAGGAAAUUCAGGAUUUGGGGUUUGGGGACAUUUUGGGGAUAUUUUGGGGACAUUUUGGGUAUAUUUUCAGGAUAUUUUGGGGAUAUUUUGGCAGAUAUUUUGGGGAUAUUUUGGGGACAUUUUGGGGAUAUUUUAGUGGAUAUUUUGGGGAUAUUAUGGGGACAUUUUAGGGAUAUUUUGGUGGAUAUGUUAGUGGAUAUUUUGGGGAUAUUUUGGGUUUAUUUUGGGGAUAUUUUGAGGAUAUUUUGGGGAUAUUUUAGUGGAUAUUUUGGGGACAUUUUAGGGAUAUUUUGGCAGAUAUUUUGGGGGUAUUAUGGGGACAUUUAAAGGAUAUUUUGAUGGAUAUUUUGGGGACAUUUUGGGUUUAUUUUGGGGAUAUUUUGAGGAUAUUUUGGGGAUAUUUUGGGGACAUUUUAGGGAUAUUUUGGCAGAUAUUUUAGUGGAUAUUUUGGGGACAUUUUGGGGAUAUUUUGGGAUCGCCUCAUCCCAGAGGAAUUCUGAAUUCCCAUUGGNU
rnacentral:lncRNA from 1 species